UCCGGUUUGGCACCGGCAGUCCCCCGAGAGUCCUCAGCAGUUUGCACCCUGUUAGCAACACGGGGCGGGGGUUGCGCUCGUUGCGGGACUUAACCCAACAUCUCACGACACGAGCUGACGACAGCCAUGCAGCACCUGUGCUGAUGCUCCGAAGAGGGCCCCCUGUUUCCAGGGAGUUUCACCAGCAUGUCAAGCCUAGGUAAGGUUCUGCGCGUUGCGUCGAAUUAAACCACAUGCUCCACCGCUUGUGCGGGCCCCCGUCAAUUCCUUUGAGUUUCAGCCUUGCGGCCGUACUCCCCAGGCGGGGCACUUCAUGCGUUAGCGCCGGUACCCCGGGGGUCGCUCCCCAGAGCACCUAGUGCCCAUCGUUUACGGCGUGGACUAC
rnacentral:misc_RNA from 1 species